rnacentral:rRNA from 1 species
AAUGAACGCUGGCGGCGUGCGUAACACAUGCAAGUCGAACGAGAAAGCCGUUUUCGGAUGGCGAGUAAAGUGGCGUACGGGUGAGUAACGCGUGAGUGACCUACCCUUGAAUCUGGGAUAACACCGCGAAAGUGGUGCUAAUACCGGAUACGAUUCUGCUGAAAGGUAGAAAGAAAGCCGGCCUCUCGAAGAAGCUGGUGUUCGGGGAUGGGCUCGCGUCCUAUCAGCUAGUUGGUAGGGUAACGGCCUACCAAGGCGACGACGGGUAGCUGGUCUGAGAGGAUGAUCAGCCACACUGGCACUGGAACACGGGCCAGACUCCUACGGGUGGCUG